rnacentral:misc_RNA from 1 species
GAUGAAGAACGUAGCAAAAUGCGAUAAGUAAUGUGAAUUGCAGAAUUCAGUGAAUCAUCGAAUCUUUGAACGCACAUUGCGCCCGCCAGUAUUCUGGCGGGCAUGCCUGUUCGAGCGUCAUUUCAACCAUCAAGCCCCAGGCUUGUGUUGGGGACCUGCGGCUGCCGCAGGCCCUGAAAACCAGUGGCGGGCUCGCUAGUCACACCGAGCGUAGUAGCAUACACAUCGCUCAGGGCGUGCUGCGGGUUCCGGCCGUUAAACCCCUUUUUUACCCAAGGUUGACCUCGGAUCAGGUAGGAAGACCCGCUGAAUUUAAGCAUAUCAAUAAGCGGAGGA